rnacentral:rRNA from 1 species
AUUGAACGCUGGCGGCAGGCCUAACACAUGCAAGUCGAACGGAGUGGCGGACGGGUGAGUAAUGCCUGGGAAUCUGCCUGGUGGUGGGGGAUAACUUCUGGAAACGGGAGCUAAUACCGCAUACUAUCGGAUGUGCCCAGGUGGGAUUAGCUAGUUGGUGGGGUAAAGGCAAACCAAGGCGACGAUCCGUAACUGGUCUGAGAGGAUGAUCAGUCACACUGGAACUGAGACACGGUCCAGACUCCUACGGGAGGCAGCAGUGGGGAAUAUUGGACAAUGGGCGAAAGCCUGAUCCAGCCAUGCCGCGUGUGUGAAGAAGGUCUUCGGAUUGUAAAGUACUUUAAGCUGGGAGGCGUUACCAGCAGAAUAAGCACCGGCUAACUCCGUGCCAGCAGCCGCGGUAAUUC